GCCAGGUGCAGUGGCGCACACCUGCAAUCCCAGCAGCUUGGAAGGCUGAGGCAGGAGGAGCAUGAGUCGGAGGCCAGCCUCAGCGACCUAGCGUGCCCCUGUCUCAA
rnacentral:sRNA from 1 species